CAUUAGUGAAUUGCUCUCUGACGUUAAACUAUAUCCAUCUACACCUGUGAACUGUUGAUUGACUUCGGUCAAUUACUUUUACAAACAUUGUGUAAUGAACGUCAUGUUAUUAUAACAAAAAUAACUUUCAACAACGGAUCUCUUGGCUCUCGCAUCGAUGAAGAACGCAGCGAAAUGCGAUAAGUAAUGUGAAUUGCAGAAUUCAGUGAAUCAUCGAAUCUUUGAACGCAACUUGCGCUCUCUGGUAUUCCGGAGAGCAUGCCUGUUUGAGUAUCAUGAAAUCUCAACCAUUAGGGUUUCUUAAUGGCUUGGAAUUGGGUGUUGCCAGUCGCCUGGCUCGCCUUAAAAGAGUUAGCGUGUUUAACUUGUCUAUCUGGCGUAAUAAGUUUCGCUGGUGUCGGCUUGAGAAGUACGCUUCUAAUCGUCUUCGGACAAUUCUUGAACUCUGGUCUCAAAUCAGGUAGGGCUACCC
rnacentral:rRNA from 1 species